GGGUACUGAUGUCAUAUGGUUGGAUACGUAACACCGGACUGGGAACGAUGCUCAGGUAUUGUGAUAGAGUUAUUCAUGAUAGGAUAACGGAGAAAGAUGGCUCAGAGUGGAAGUCGAAAAUUGAGAAGUUGCUUGUGGCUGGAUACAGUGGUGGUUCCAUAGUUGAAAACCCUGUGGACCACAAUGUUGCUCGGAAUGACCCUGAAAUCAAGUCAGAACUAGAGUAAAACCUAGAUUUACUUGUCAAAAAUCUUGUAAAUGUCCAUCUCUUUUGUACAUACUUGAGUAGCUGGCUGUCUAAACUUAGUUUGGUUGUAAAAAAGGAUUCA
rnacentral:misc_RNA from 1 species